GCCUACGACCAUAUCACCCAGAAUGCGCCCGAUCUCGUCUGAUCUCGGAAGCUAAGCAUGGUCGAGCCUGAUUAGUACUUGGAUGGGAGACUGCCUGGGAAUACCAGGUGUUAUAGUCU
rnacentral:rRNA from 1 species